GGCAUACAAGUCAAGCUCCCCCAGCGCGGCAAGCUCAGUGAAAAGUUUUGACUGUGCUAUAAAUUCUGGCCAUGAGCAAGUUCUCAAAAAUAAAACAUGCCAUUUCAGCUACAGUACACCUGGUGCUUGCCAGGAUCUUGAAAGGACCCCGCUACCCCCUGAUGGCAUUUUAUGUGUACUGUGUGAGACAAGGGGGUGGCAUUUUAUGUGUACAGUUUGUUUGAAUUCCGGGGAGAUUUUGGCAGAAAACUGCCACCGUCAGAUCUAGAUCUGAUGGCUCUGGGGGUGUUCGCCAGGAUUGAUCUGACGGCUCUGGGGGUGUUUGCCAGGAUUUUGGUCUCUUGGAUAAGAUUUCCCUCAUGAAAUCACCUCAUUCCAGAUAUAAUGGUUAACUCCCCAUAGGUAGAGCAUGGAUGCGCGAUUGACGAUGUACGGUUCAGUUCGAGCAUAGUGGAGCAAUGUGUUGGAUUUGUUACGACGGUGGUUUAAUUUUAACUAUAAGCUUCACAGUCGGUCGAUCGAUCGGAAACGAAUGGAGCAGAUGAUCUGCAGCAACUAUUGUUGACGUUAGUAUUGGGAAAGCUAAUAAUUCACUUAGCUAGUCUCAUCUUUGUGCAAAGAGAACUUGAACAUCAAGAAUAGGUUCGAUGUUUGCAGGAGAGACGAAUAAGGUAGCGCUACAUGUUUCUCUUAGAGCUUACCAGCAGUUUAGUAAAAGCAAUGUUUGUUCAUUCAUGACUAAGUUUCCGGUGCUCAUAUUUUUGGUUGGAAGACUCAAUGCAGCAAAGUCAUUUUGUGUGGUUGCAUCACUUACGGUACAUCUGAGACCAUUUAUUUAUUCUGAGAUUGUAAGAACGUAUGACCACCCAGAUGUAUAGCACACAUUUUUUUUUGUAUCUUUCUUUUUUAGUCAAAUUAGUGUCAGCUUGAUGGGCCUAAAGUACACCUUUUGUCAUAGAAGAUACACAUGCAGGUAUCUCCUCUCAGUCUAUCCGUAGAACAAAUUCAUAGACUUCUUUCAUCUUAGACAAUUUAAAUCAAUCAUAUCUUUUAAACUAUACACUCAUUUAUGAAACUUUUUAUAUAUUUGGACUCCUCCUGUCAAGAACUUUAAAACUAGACCAGUUUUGGAUACAUUUCAAAUAUAUUUAAAUUUUGACAUUUCACAUUUCAUGUGAAACAACCUAUUUCCAGAGAAAAAUCCGAGACAAACCUAUUUCUUUCGUUGAGAUAUGUGAAAAUAACAUUUUUCACAUAAACCUAUUUAACCUAAAUAUGAAACUGAAAUGUCAACUUGCGAAACCGAUUAUUUGGAAAUGUGUAUCAUUUUAUUUCAAAAGAGUAAAAUAUGUUAUUUCAAAAAUGUGCAAUUGAAAUAGAUGUGAUGUUUGUGAAAUGAGCCAGUGAAAAGUGAAAUGCACCUUCUAAAAGUGAAAAAAAUGUGAAACUAAAAUCUCAACUUGUGAAAUUGAAAUUUUAAAAUGUGUAACGGUUUACUUCAUAACAGUGAAAUAGAUGUGAUUUUGUUAAAACACAAAGUGAAAUGUAGGUUCUGCAAGUGAAAAAUUAUAUAAAUUGAGAUUUUAACUUAUGAAACUGAUUAUUUUGAGAUGUGCAACAGUUUAUUUCAAAAGAGUGAAACAUGUUAUUUCAAACAUGUGCAAUUGAAAUAUAUGUGUUUUUUGUGAAACAAGCCAGUGGAAAGUGAAAUGUAUGUUUGAAAGUGGAAAACAAUAUGAAAGUGGAAUGCCAACUUGUGAAACCGAUUAUUACGAAAUGUGAAACGGUUUAUUUUAAAAUAGUAAAAUAUGUUCUUUCAAAAAUGUUCAAUUGAAAGAGAAAUGAAUUUUCUGAAACACGCCUGAAAAAUGAAAUGUCAGUUCUGAAAAUGAAAAACAACAUGAAACUGAAAUGUCAAUUUGUGAAACUGCUUGAAAUCAUUUUAUUCACAAGAUUUCAAGCGGGUGAAACAUGUCUCAUGAAUUUUAAACUCAUUUAAAAUGUAUCGAAAAAUCAGUCUUGUUUUAAAGGUCUUUGCUACAUGAGUUCAAAUAUAUAAAAAGUUUUAUUUAAGUUAGCAAACAUAAAAUAAAUGGGUGCAUUUGUUUGGGAGAGAGAAGAGAGGGAAUGGCAGCGGAUGCAUGCAACCAUCUAACUGAAAAGCAGGGAAUUCAUUGUACAAUCUGACAUGCACAGAAGUAUUGCAGUGUAUUUCAUCUAUACCAAUAUAAAAAGAUCUAAAGCGGCAAAUCCAAUUAAUCUUAGCCAUUAAAUCAUGUCAAUCCAACGAUUUAGACUGCUUCAAUGUCGAGCGCUCAAUAUGUGUAGCGUGCAGUUAAUUUCAUGCCAAAUAUAUUGCUAAUCACAUAAUAACACGCAAAUAAUAUCCUAAUUAAUAUCCGCAUGCAUUUAGUAUACUUCUAAAUUAACAUGCAUUGCACGUACACAUUGACUAGUCUGAAAAAUGAUGCACGACUUAUACAUUAUUCCGACGCACGAAUCGUGAGCACUCAAUGAACGGCCCGAGAUCUGCCGCUACCAGCCGGCAACGCGCAAAUUUCCAUUUUGCUCUCAAUGCGCGUUAUUACAGCGGCAUGUCCUGACUGACAUUCUUUUUGCUAGGAAAAAGAAACAAUUCUCAUCUCAUUGCUAAAGUGGAUCACCCUCCUCUGCUGCUCCCGUGGGCGACAGGGGAGGCCACCCGCCGCCGCCGGCCCCUAGCCCACCUCUUCCUCCUCUCUCCUUGCCGCCGCCUAGGCGCGCCGGCGGGCGAAGCCUGCCUGGCAUUGGUGGCAGCGGGGUGCUUUCUCCCUCUCGCACGGCGGGAUCGAAUCAACGCGGGUCAAUCUGUCUGAGCCAGGGUGCGGCAACAGUGCUGGUGAUCGCAGCAGCACGUGGAUGGCUGCACGAGGGUGGCAGCAGCGCGACGCGUCAGGCGUUGGCGGCGGCGGAGAGCUGGCCCAGAUCUGCUGCCAGAUGGCACCUGGCGGCUUGGGCUGCAGACGGCACGGACCACCGGCUGGUACUAUCCUCGAGGCGGUGUGGCCGGUGGCGAUGGUGGCCGGGGUUGUGCUCAUGCUGUGGUGACGGCACAGUGGCGGUCCUCAGAGUUCCCGCGGUUGUGUGCGUCUUGUCGGCGAGGCAACACGUGGUUCCAGUCAGCUACAAGAUCGGGAUGGCGCGUCCGCUGGUGAAAAUCGCGUGGACUCCGGUUUUGACGGACGAUGGCGGCAUCUUUGAGACGUCGUUUCCUUUGUUGAGGCAUCGUUGUUGCAGGUACCUAUUCCAUUCAUCAUAAUAUGUUUUCAAAUUCAAAUAUUAUCAUUCUACCCCGUCUCAAUGCCAUCUGCCUAGUUUAUACAUCAUUCUUCUGAAUACCUCAUGCAUUGUUGUUUAGUAUGUACUCCAUCCAUCUACCAUACCAUGUUUUUUUAUAUUGAAGUGUUGUUCUACUGUUCUGUUGCAAUGCGAUCUUAGUUUGUCCAUCAGACAUGUGAAUAUGCGGCCUUGCUGUUUUUCUGUACCUAUUUCAACUAAAGUUUAUUUAAUUGGAAGCUAUGGUUAUUUAGUUACAAAAUAAACCAUUUCAGCAUGUCAUUUAUGCAAAUUAAUUCAAUCAUCACGUUUAGCCAUUUUAAACAUGGAUGAAAGUUGGAUAUUGUGAAACUAUACAAAAUUCUAAGCAUUUUGCAUAUAUAGUUUGUUUAAUUUGAAUGCAUGUAUAUUUAGUUAUUAACAAUACAAAACAGGGGCAUUUUCUGUAAUUAUGCAUGCACUGGAAAAUGAUAGAUCAACAGAGCAGAGAAGAAAACAUGCUUGGGUCAGAAGCAACACAGUGCAACGACCCAGCAGCGAAUGAGGCCCAAGUAUGCGUGGUGUGUGCAUAUGCAAUAACAGAAGAUCCUCAAAAAAAAAUAUGCAAUAACAGAAAACAACAACAAAAGAAAGAAGAGGAGAAAAAGGAACUUGGUGGUCCCACCAAGGAUAGAGAUGCAUAUUGAAGACGUGACACGGAUGCUUGCUCUCUCUGGCUAUAGCUUGACGUGUUUGGUGCUUCGGUUUGGUGGUUUCUUAAAGCGGCACACUUCAUAGUCUAAGUAGGCUCAUGUUAGGUUUUGUUCCUCUUGUUUUCAUGCUCGGCUUCGAGUUGGUGGCGUUCUCGCCACCCACUCGGUUGUCGUUUUUUUCUUCCUUUUGUUUUGUUUGUUUGGGGAUUUCCCCACCACCAUCUUGUAUUGGUUCGGCCGUUCAGACUUCAUAUAUAAAGUUGAUAUAGGUAGUCUAGGACGGCAUUGUAUGAGAGCUACUCCAUCACUUUUUAUUGUUCUGCUGUGUACUCUGUUUGGUGUUUGCUUUAUAUAUAAAGCGACCACUUUUUAUCAUUCUGCCAUGUACUUUGUUUGGUGUUUACUUUAUAUAUAAAGCGAAGCAAAAGCAUGUUUUGAGGAACCGUUUUUGGAUUUUCCCAUCACCUUGUAUCGGUUCGGCCGUUCAGGCUUUAUAUCUAUCCCUAAUAAUAAAGCACGGAUUGAUUCCGUGGGUUCACCGUCACAAUACGCUUUCUUCCUGUGAAUUUACGUUUUUAAUUUAAAUUUAAAAUAUAUAUGCGAGGUGGUACUAAUUCUGCUAAAAAAACGACUCAAUCGCUACUUUGCGCUACGUCGUAGAGUACCUCCAACUUCGCACGCUAGCCAUAUAUUGGGCUGAUAUAUGCUGAUGGGUCUCCUCCCAGGCUUCAUUGGAUUACGAUCCAAAAAUCAGCAGCGUGGGGAUGUACUCUGGUCUCCACGCCCCGAACCAGCUCACUCAGAUCCUUUGUCUUUCUCAAAAAAAAAACCAGGUUAUUUGUCUAAAAAAACUAACCCUGGUAAUGAUUGCAACCCUCGGGGUAGCUUCUUUUUUUCAUGCAGCGCAUGCACGUCCUUCUUUAAGUACUGCAAGCAUUUGGAUUGGAGCUGCAAACGUAAAUCUUUUCAUUUCUCGGCAUUUUUCCUGCUAUAACUUUUUCUUGAAAAUAUACUUGCUUGAUCUACGUGCAACUUCGCUCAAGUUUCGCUGCUUCAAACGGCAAACACUACACUGCAAGCGGCACGCGUCGCUGUAAGGUCGAGUGCCCACUGCGUCUAGCUAGAAACACGUCAAUGUAACAUCAGUCUCCGCUGUUCUUUUUUCUAUUGGCAAUUCGGACCAAAGUGCUGCAAAAUUAUUACAUGGAUGUUGGAAGGACGGUCGUUUGUCCUACCAGUUGGAUGAAAAACACUGCAAAGGCGACCACGUGGAAAUUGCAAGGAUGACUGACGAUGCUAUAGGUUGGACGCAUGUCAUUGCAAGGUCGUUUCAUGAUUAUACAUUUCUUCUAGAUAUGGACAUGGACCUUCUUGUAGCUACCAGCUGGCAGCGUGUGAACGCUAUCGUGAUGUUUUGAUGGACAUGCUAUCUUUUAUUUGAUCUUCUUGCAAUGUACGGCAUAUGCGCUAUAAUAAUAAUAAUUAUUAUUAUUAAAGUCAUCAAUUGCUUUCAAACUUAUAAAAUAUUACCCACCAAUGCAAUCUAUAAGUUGACAAAAAACAUUUCACACUGGGAAUCCCCUACCUGGGCCAUCCCACGCAGUAGUGAUCUUCUAUACUGCGCUCUGCACGCAGCGAGAAGACACAGCGCUCCAAUUAGGGCCGGCCCAUGUGCGGGCGGUCCGUUUUUAAAUUUCGUUUUUUUUCCAUUAUCGUUUUUUCUCCUUUAAAUAAUUUGGUACUUAAAAAAACCUCCAAAAAUUUUAAAAAGAACUUUUAAGUAAAUUUUUGAAUAAAGCAUAAAAUGAUUGUGUCGCAUAUUCAAAACAUGUUUGCAAUUUUUAAAACAAAUGUUUGGGAAAUAAAAAAAUAUUCAUUAUUUUUAAAAUUUUGUUUAUUACGAAUUAUUAAUGAAAUUGAACAAAAUGGUCGCCAAAAUGUUAUCGGUGAUGCAGCAAAAUGUUGUCAUGCUCAUUGAAGUUUAUGAUUUUUGUCUCCCGUUGCAACGCACGAGCCAUUUUACUAGUAUAAUAUAAAGCUGGGCAAAUGCCUGUUUCGUGUAAGGUGUUUCUCGAAGAAGAAAAAGUUAAAAAGUAUCCUGGACACACACGGUUCUCUUAGAUACCGCCGCAUCUUCUCUUGUCCAAGAUCCAAGACGCACAAAACAAUGUUAGAACCCCCCGCAAAAAAAGAAAACAAUGUUCGAACCAGUGGGCGUGUGAGAUCUCAUACAUCAUCGACGGCGUUGAUUCGUGGCGAAUUCGGAGGCCCCAACGGGGCGAGCACGUCACCGCUUGACCCUUUCCCCUCGAGGCGCUGCCGUUCCGCCGUGGUCACGCCUCCGAGCCAUCACAAGGACCCAAACCCGAGACACAGCCAGCAUUAAACAAAAAGGCAAAAAGGCAGUCCAGUCCAGUCCAGAGGCCGUUUUUGUCCGCACGGCAAGCCAGAGCCACCCCCGCUCGCCUCAAGCCGUCGUCAUCGAUCACAAUUCACACCCAGCUUCCAACCAUCCGACUCCCUCACUCCGUCCGCGCAAUUAAGAGAUCCCCCCUCCCCCCGCCCCCUCUCGCGCGCGCUCCCGUGCUCCAUCGCCCCCUUUUCCGUNNNNNNNNNNNNNNNNNNNNNNNNNNNNNNNNNNNNNNNNNNNNNNNNNNNNNNNNNNNNNNNNNNNNNNNNNNNNNNNNNNNNNNNNNNNNNNNNNNNNNNNNNNNNNNNNNNNNNNNNNNNNNNNNNNNNNNNNNNNNNNNNNNNNNNNNNNNNNNNNNNNNNNNNNNNNNNNNNNNNNNNNNNNNNNNNNNNNNNNNNNNNNNNNNNNNNNNNNNNNNNNNNNNNNNNNNNNNNNNNNNNNNNNNNNNNNNNNNNNNNNNNNNNNNNNNNNNNNNNNNNNNNNNNNNNNNNNNNNNNNNNNNNNNNNNNNNNNNNNNNCUCGCCUCCCCCCCUCUCUAUAACCCCCUGCCGCGCGAUCGCGCGAUGGACCCGCACUCGCACUCGCACUCGCUGUCGCCACCGCCAGCACCUGACGACGACCCCGACGCGAUGCCGAGGGAGCAGCAGCAGCGGGAGGAGGCGCCGCCGGGCUACGUGCCGCCGAUGGGCCCCGAGGAGGUGGCGGCCGUCGAGGCGCUCCUCGGCUACGAGUUCAAGGACAAGUCCCUGGUCGGGCUGGCCCUCACGCACGGCUCCUUCUACUUGCCCUACCGCUCCGGCGACUCCACCUACGAGCGGCUCGAGUACCUGGGUGACGGCGUGCUCACCUGCCUCGUGUCACGGGAGGUCUUCCUCACCUAUCCGGACCUCCCGCCAGGCCCGCUCACGCGCCUCCGCGCCGCCAACGUCGACAAGGAGAAGCUCGCGCGCAUCGCCGUCGACCACGGCAUCCACCGCUUCCUCCGCCACAAGGCGCCCAAGCUCGAGGAACAGGUUACUAGUAACUGCCACUCUCCUUCUACUAGUCUACUACUACUAAUUUUAGUACCUUUCCGGUGCGUGCGUUGCGCCAUGUUCCCUGUUCAUGAGAGGGACGUGUCAAAACUGACCUUUUCAACUCGCCGGGCCCCUGCUUUGUGGUGUGUCAUUUUGGUGAAAUAUUUUGUUUCCAUGCCUGCUCAUUCUUGGAUAUACAUCUUGUCUAGUCUUGUUGUAAAUAGUUAAAGUAAAACCAAACUUGAUCCUUAUACACACACAUAGUGAUGCUAGGAUGUACGGGGCUGUAGACUAGUAGCAUACAUGUUCAUGGAGUGGUCACUCAAGACUCAAGAGUGUGCCCACCAUGGAUCUCAGAUUGAAACGUGUGCCACCUUUUUAUUAUUCUCCUCCUGUGAUUCAAACGGCACUUGUAAUUCUCUGCCGUGUUCAAGGGUAUGAUCCCUUGUUAUAUGCGUAUGAUGUAAUUUUGGGUGAAAGGGAACCAUCUCUUUCUGUUCCCCUCUCCUACCUUAGUAUCUUGUCAAAGCACCAGUCUGCGAUUCAAAGAUUCUACCAAGGUGAUACUUUUCCAAAAGAUUCAAUUGACAUGUACAAUUCUAGGUUACCCAAUGGUCCAUUUGGAUCGAGGCGGGAAAACCUCGAACUCAUUUAUACAUUUCCAAAUGGUUGUUGUUUAAGGAAAGUAGUCAAAAAUAUAAGUAUGCGGAUUAAAUUCCACGGUAACGAUAGAGAAAACUCGCUAUCUUGUCGUUUUGUUUGUAAUAAAAUGGUUGUUGGUUCUUAGGGAAAGACAUGAAAGCACAAAUGUGGCGUUCCGACUCCACCUUAUUAUGUCUAUUUAUGUUUUCUUUUCAUGGGAUUUCAUAAAGGUUAUGUGAAAAACAAGUUUUUGCUUAUGUCGGCUAAUCAAGUUGUUUAUGUUUCCCGCAAAAAAACCAAGUUGUUUAUGCACCAGAGUUAAUACUAAACGAUUGAUGUGUAACCACACCCACUUCUAUGGUAUUGUAUUAGUUUUUUUGUUGGUGUAGCCUUUCUUAUGCUUGUGUCUGCGACUAAUACCUAUUAGUUGUUGCAUGAAGAGAAGAACAAUGAAAAGGUCAUUUUUAUGUAAUUAAGAUGUUGACAUGCUGCAAAGCCACGUAUGAUUGAUGUGAUGCCUCUUGUGCUUUGGCGUUUGCAGAUUGCUGAUUUUGUGAAAGAAUUGUGUCAGUAUGAAUACCACUCCAAUGGGCUAUUGGAUGCUCCAAAAGUGCUGUCUGACAUCGUGGAAUCUCUUAUUGGUGCCAUAUAUCUUGACUCCAAGUACAAUCAAGAGCUAGUUUGGCAGGUAAAUGUCUUUCUCGGAACUGCGAAAUCUUGGCUGUUGUUUCUCACUGUAGUUUGGUAAUGUAAUGUUUCUUUCUCUGAUAAUAGGUUUUUCAAAAGUUGGCUGAUCCACUUAUUAGGCUUGAGACAUUAGGGAGGCAUCCCGUAAGCGAGCUAUUAGAGUUUGGCCAAAAGAGUGGUCGAAUAGUGGAUAUCUCUAAAGAUGGGUGGGUUAAGGAUACGAAGGUUGAUGUAUUUGUUGACGGUGUGCUGGUUGCAAGCGCGACUUAUGCACAAAAGAAGGAGAUAGCUUCGAACCGCGCCGCGAAGGCUGCUCUAGACAAAUUGAAGGAGAUGUCGGGGCAAUCCGAUGUUCUAUCAGCCCCAGCCCUAGGAGAAGCUCCUGAGCCGUUGGACGAAUUGGGUCGUGCUGGAGCUUUAGAGCUCUAGAGCUCCAGUGAAAUGCUGAGACAUUGUCGGCGCAACAAAUGUUUUUGCCUGUUUGUACUUCCGUUGAAUCUUAACAUUACAUGUGUGUUGUUAAGCUGCGUUGUGAGCCUGUAAAUACUUAUAUGCAAAUCAUAUGAGUAUUGUGCCCCUGUGGGCGUUGAGACUUGAGAGCAAGGUGCAAGUUCACACCUUAAAAUUGAUUUGUUCAUCUCUAUAUACUUUGGUGAUAUUAGCAUGUACCGAACUGGAUGGUUCACCUACAGCAGACAACUUCUUCUUUUCUCCGAGCAGAGUGAAUGUCUGCUUUUGCCCUUCGGGAGUGAAGUGGAAUCGUACAGCCGCUGCGGGCGCGGGGAAAGGCGACGCUAGGGCGCCAUGCCUCGCUGCGGUGCCUCGGCCGGCGGUGCCGGUGCGUCCGGACGGCAAGGCGCGCGCGCGGUGGUGACGCCAUCCUCGCUGGGGCCGACUUGGGUGCCCCGGCCCGCGCCGUUUCGCUGGGCUGACAUCGCCGACGACGAGGCGAGGCGGACGGCGGUAUCGAGAUGCCGGUCUCCUUGGCGCCGCCGUCUUUCGGCGACUUCCCGGCCGUGGCGUCGAAGGCGAGUUCGCGCGGCGCUCGACGGCCCGGUGUCAGGGCCCCGGUGGUGGCUGCUGACCAGCCGCCCCGGGCGUCACGGAUAGCGCGGCGAGCGUGACCCCACCUUCCCCGUUCGCGGCGCCGCCUGCAUCGGUGGGAGAGCAGACGACCGAUGCUGGCCGGAGCUCUUCCCGCACGGUAGAGGUCGAGCCGGUGCGCCGCCUUGCUCCGCAGCCACCGGCUGGCUCGGUCGAGCCGUUCGAGCUCCUGGCGCCUGCAGCGCCCCGCGAUGGGCCGGCCCACGAACCGUGCAAACCAAUGAAUGCAAAAACCUUGCCAAAAAAAGGAAAUAUAAAAGGGAAUAAUGCUCUCUACAGGAUUGAACUCACCACACCGUGUGAACAAACAGAUGCCAGCAGCAACCCGGGCUACUUGCCGUUGGUGAUUAGUAACAGAGGCAAACAUAUAUAUAAUAACAAGGCCGCAACGCUAUUUUAUUGAACAUAACAGUUCAUCUAUUGUAUCACUUAAUUUUUUUGAAUUAUUUGGAAAAAAGAUCGCGAUUUUCAAAAAAGUUCAUUGAUUUUCAAAAAAGUUCAUCAACUUUAAAAAAAAUCCAUCAAAUUUGAAAAAUGUUCACAGAUUUUUAAAAGAGAAAAUCAGAUUGUAAAACGUUCAUAAAAUUUGAGAAAGUUUCAUUAAUUUUGAUAAAAAGUUCAGCGAUUUUGAAAAAAAGUUCAACGAAUUUGAAAAAAUUCAUUGAUACUGAAAAAAGUUCACAAAUCUAAAAAAAGAGUUCAUCGAUUUAAUUUUUUUUUUGAAAAAAUUGAGAAAAGUUCAUGCAUUUGCAAAAGAAAAAAGAAACAGGAAAAAGAUAAGAAAGAAAAAGAAAACCGGUCGCGAUUUGGAGAAAGAAUAGAAGGAGAAAAAUGAUCUACCUUUCAAAUGAGAUGGGUUGUCCCAAGUGGUUGCAACUUUGCUACCCUAUGGUAUAGGUUGCAUGUUUGAAUCGUUCGCUACGCACAUUUUUUCCAAUUUUUCAGAAAAAAAGAAGGGGAGGGAAGGAACUGGGCUGGCCCAAAAUCGCGCCCGAGGGUGUGCGCUGCACGCACCCGUUCCGCUAGCUCGGUCAGCCCAUGAACGCAUGGUUGCGUGGGGGUCGCAGCACUAGGCCCGUUCUGUCCCGUGGGGCCUAAUUGGCCCGGGGCAUGGGCCUUAGCCCAAACGGAUCCGGCCCACUGGCAGUGGAUUUCGCGUGAUGCGCCCAACCCAUUAGUGGGCUCGCCUGCUUCUAGGGCAGAUGUCGCGUGAUUCGAGUCGAACGCCCAUCUUGUUCUAUCCCGUGUAUUGCCGCUGUCCUCUGUUCCUGCUCUGAUUGACGUUCUCGCCCCGCCCUCGCCAGAUCGCGUACCUGGCGCCUCCCGGCCUUCGCUGCUCCUAGCUGACCCGAGCUCGAGGCGGGACACAGCUCGCGCUAAGAUGGUCGAAGCUCCGCGGGUGCGGACGACCACAACAAGUUCAAUUCCGCUGAACCUGGCCGGUCGGAUGCUCGAGAUUAGCGUAGGCAUUCAUCUGGGUCGCCUCGGUACUAUCCCGCCCGCUCCAUGCUAUUUGUGAGCUGUGAUGGAAUUUUCUAUGAAGAGGAAGGACGAAGCAAUAGUAGCUGAUAAGUAUUUCCCUCCGUGAGAAUCAAGGUUGUCGAAUCAAUAGGAAAAUCAUGCAAAGCAUAAUGAACAGUACCUGCACACAACACGGGCAAGAGAGUUGUCAAUCCCUUUGAACUCGUUACUUGCAAGAAUCAAAUCUGGUAGUGGUAAAUAUAUAAAUCACAAAACAAAAUAAAUUCCAGCAAGGUUUUUUCUUUUCUUUUUGUAAUAUGAUAAAAGUAAACCCUGGGGCCAUAGUUUUCACUAGAGGCUUCUCUCUCUCCCUCUCUUAAUAAUAACACACGGUAGGUAGACAAAUUACUGUUGGACAAUUGAUAAAAAAACGCAUAGUUAUGAUGUUAUUCAUGGUAACGAUCAUGUAUAUAGGCAUUACGUCCGUGACAAGUAGACUAAAAUGAUUCUGCAUCUACUACUAUUACUCCACCAAUUGACCGCUAUCCAACAUGCAUCUAUGGUAUUAAGUUCAUGACAAACAGAUUAACGCCUUAAGCAAGAUGACAUAAUAUAGACAGAAUAAACUCCAGCAAUGUGAAUGAACCCCAUCAUCUUACCCGUAAUGGCAAUAAUACAAAUACGCGCAUCACUACCCCUUCUGUCAUGAGGUGAGGACACCGCAAAAUUGAACCCACUACAAAGCACCUUUCCCACUGAAGAUAAAUCAAUCUAGUUGGCCAAACCAAACAGAUAUAUCAGAAAGAAAUACAAAGCUAUAACCAUCAUGCAUAAUAAAGUACAUCAGAGACUCAAUUAUUUUCAAUGAAUAAUCUUAUCAUAAACCCAUAAUUCAUCGUAUCCCAGCACACACACUGCAAAGAAAGAUUACAUCGGAUAGAAAUCCAUGGAGAUCAUGGAGAACUUUGUAUUGAAGAUCGAGAGAAAGAAGAAACCAUCUAUUUACUAGCUAUGGACCCGUAGGUCUGUGGUAAACUACUCACACAUCAUUGAAGGUGUAGCAAGGAUGAUGUAGAAGCCCUCCAUGAUCAGGCCCCCCUCCGGCAGAGUACCAAAAAAGGCCUCCAGAUGGGAUCACGGAAGAAUAGAAGCUUGCAGCGACGGAAAAGAGUGCUUCGGAUGGCUCUCUGUUGGUUUGGGAAUAUUUAGAAAUUUAUAGAGUUGAAAUUAGGUCAAACAGAGCUAUGUGGGACCCACAAGCUUAGGGGGGACCCUGGGCACGCCGGGUGAGCUCAUGACUCUCCCGUAGAUCUUUUGGCCUCCUCCCAAACGUUCUAGGGUCUCUUCUGGUCCAGAUGAAAUCACCGUAAAGUUUCAUUGUGUUUGGACUUCGUUUGAUACUAAUUUUCUAAAAAGCCAAAACAAGAAAAGAAAACAACAACUGGCACUGGGCACCGAGUUAAUAGGUUAGUCCAAAAAAUGAUAUAAAUUUGCAUAUGAAGUAUGUAAAAUUGGCAAUAUAAUAGCAUGAUAUAAUAAAAAAUUUAUAGAUAUGUCAGAGACAUACCAGCAUCCCCAAGCUUAAUUCAUGCUUGUCCUCGAGUAGGUAAAUGAUAGAAACAGAGUUUUUGAUGUUGAAUGCUACCUAGCAUGUUUAUCAUGUAAUCUCCUUACGCUAUAAAUGCUGAGAAAUGAUGAUAAUUGAUAUCAACAUAAUAAUAUCCAUGAAUAUAAGAACAUAAUCAUUACUUUUUCAAAAUAUACGAUGUUUAAUGAAUGUUAUCCCUCCUCGUUGAAUUAUGUAAGCAUGGCAUGACUCCGCCUUCACCGCAUAAGUAUAAAUCAUGAGCACCCUGGUGUCAAACCAAGAAAUUAUAACAUAUUUUUAACGCGCUUCAACAUUUUUUUACUCCAUUCAAUACAUGAGUGUGAGCCAUGGAUAUUAGCACUAGGGUGGAAUAGAGUGCAGUGGUAGAGAUAUAUAGGAGAAGUCAAAAGGGAAGAAAGCCUCGCAUCAACUCGGUGGAUCGUUAAGCAAUGGAGAGGCCUUACAAUCGAUAUCAAUGCGAGGAGUAGGGAUUGCCAUGCAACGAAUGCACUAGAGCUAUAAGUGUAUGAAAACUCAAACUGAAACGAAGUGGGUGCGCAUCCAACUUGCUUGCUCAUGAAGACCUUCGGCAUUUGAGGAAGCCCAUCAUUGGAGUAUACAAGCCAAGUUCUGUAAUGAAAAAUUCCCACUAGUAUAUGAAAGUGAUUACUCAGGAGACUGUCUAUAUGAAGAACAUGGUGCUACUCUGAAGCACAAGUGUGGUAAAAUGAUAGUAACAUUGUCCCUUCUCUCUUUUUCUCUCAUUUUUGUUGAGCUCUUUUGGCCUCUCUUUUUUCAUCCGUAGUCUCAUCCCGACUUGUGGGGAAUCAUUAUCUCCAUCAUCGUUUCCUCACUGGGACAAUGCUCUAAUAAUGAUGAUCAUCACUCUUUUAUUUACUUACAACUCGAUAACCGGAACAAUAUGAGUCUAUAUGAAUGCCUCUCGUAGUGUACCAGGAUGUGCAAUGAUCUAGCAUAAUAUGUAUAACAAUGAUGAAUGGUGGCUUUGCCACAAAUAUCAUGUCAGCUCUGUAUGAUCAUACAAAGCAAUAUGAUGAUGAAUACACAUGCCAUAAGACGGAAUGGUGGAAGUUGCAUGACAAUAUAUCUCGGAAUGGCUAUUGAAAUACCAUGAUAGGUAGGUAUGGUGACUAUUUUGAGUAAGAUAUAAGGAGGCUUAUGUGUGAUAGAGUGUAUCAUAUCAUGGGGUUUGGAUGCACUAGCGAAGUUUGCACCGACUCUCGAGGUGAGAAAGGGCAAAGCACAGUACCGAAGAGGCUAGCAAAUUGCGAAAACGUAGGAGUGCGCAAUUAUCCAUGGACUCACAUUUGUCAUACAAAACUCAUAUACUUAUUGUGAAAGUUUUAUAGCCCUCGAAGCAAAGUAAUCUCGCAUGCCCCUAGGGAGGAGGUUGGUAGGAGUUAACCAUCGCGCACCCCCAGUUAUGAUAGCACUCAAGGAUUUCAAUCAGACAUAAAAAUGUGCAAACAUCCCCAUCAUUCCAUAACAAACACUUAAAUGAGUAGUUAAUAACAAGCUUUAAUAUUGAUAUUCUUACUAACCAAUGAUCAUGGACUCAUACCCUUUCAUAUUACAACAUCAAUAUAAUUAAGACAUUUGUUUCAUAUUUAGUGAUCUACAUGAAAGUUUUUAUUAUACCACUCUUAAAUACCUAUCCUUUAUGGACUAGCACUACUACAGGAUGCUGCUAACGCGACACUACGAUUAGAGACCUUUCGACGAAAUUGUGUGUGAUGUAAUAAUCGCAAAUGGUGGUGUAAAAAACCCGUCAAAAAGGUGCAAAACGUUUGCGAUGACGGAUGCAUCAAACACGGUUCAGGUUUUAGUUGAGUGUGCGAUGAAGGGCAUAUGGUUCAGUUCAAUUAACUGUUUGCGAUGAGGAGGAACAAAAGAAACGGGCAGCCAGAUAAGAUGUGUGCGCUAUAUAGCAUACGGUUCACUCGGAUGAACUGUUUGUGAUUAGGCAACACAAAAGAAACUGUCAGCCAGAUCAAGGUGUGUGUGAUAUACGACAUGCGGUUCACUCGGAUGAACUGUUUGCGUUGAGACAAGAGAACAGAAACGGUUCAGUAUAAUAAGAUUUGUGUGAUACACGGUAGACAGGUCUGUAAUCGGAAAUGUGUGCGAAGACCGAUAAUAACACAGACGAUUGCUUCUAAUAAGACGUAUGUGUUGUGCGAUGGGAUUGCAUACAAAACAACAACAUAUAUAUACACACACACUUAUAAGGACAUGGUUGCAUAACCAAACUAAACAUCCACUUACAUAGGUGGCUACUACAACCAUGGCAUUUGCACACAACAAAGUAAACUAUUACAUGCAUAAUUACAUAGAUGGCUACUACACACAUGACAUUUCUACACACCAAAGUAAACUAUAUAUUACAUGCAUGAUUAACUAGGAUAAGCGAUCAUCUGAUCAUCAUCUACUUCUUGUGACGCUUGCUCUGAUUGUGGCUCGAUACGACCUUGUCGAUCUCCAUAACAAGGCACUUCCUCAUGUCAGCGAUCCGCAUGUGCAUCUCGUAGCAUGUGUACACGCUCUUGGCCGCGAACCUGAUGUGAGAUUCAUCCAUUUGCCGCAUCCAGGCACCGUGCCAGGAUACAGGACGUGUUCUGUUGGCAUCCUACUUCAUCUCUUCGUAGUAUGGGUCGAUGAUGGCCGACGUGAGUCUAACCAGGGAGUCCUUCGUGCUGCCCCAAACCCUGUAGUUCUCAUGGAUUUUGACAAGGUUCUAGCAGGCCAAGCCCGUAACCCUGAGUGCUUUUACAUUGUAGGUGGUUUCCACCGUGGCGAACUUGUAGUCGGUGCUGUUGAAAAACCUGGUGAAACGGUCGCAAGGCUCUGUGGCCAUGUAGUAGUGGUAGAUGAGGACAUGAUGGAGCACACACAACUGGGCGACGAUAACCUUCUGAUCUAUGUUGGGACGACCGGCAGUGUACUGGAGGUCGAUGCCGACCACCUUGUACUUGUCUCGAGUAAGCAACUGCUCAACGGUGUUGAUGUAGUCAUCCACCAUGGCCGGGUCGAUGGUGUACACCACCAAGAGAUCUAUCUCCCUCGCGUGGGUCUCCACUUUAUGCUCGCCGAACUCCAUUAGAGCACCGCUAGACAUCCCCUCUCUAUGUGUCAUCAUGGGUGUGCUUGUUGUGUUGUGGGGCGUGAUCGAAAGGUUGAAGAGAUCAAGGUUAUAAUGGCCACAUGAAUUAAAGGGGAAGCCGGACGGCCUGGAAUAUCGGCAGGCCCUGAUGGCAGUUCUAAUUUGCAGCGCAUAACUCCAUCAUGUCGCACGUAACUGCAUCGCAUGGCAACGCGUGCGACGCAACCACAUGCAUAUGGGGCCCCCGACAUGAUCGUGCGCAUGCCCAACCGCUGGCAGAGCGCGCGCGGAGGGACGCAAGCAGAGCGCUCCGCAGUCGCCUCAACGGCGAGCAACCAUAUAUAUGCAUAUAGCAGUUGAACACGCAAGAAAAAGCUGUCCACAUGCCGAGCGCGCUGACAGACGCGAGCAGAGCGCGCCGCGGCGCCUAACGGUGAGCAGAGCUUGCUGAAGGAUGCGAGCAGAGGCCGGCACAGUGAUACGUGGCAAAUAAGACGAACUAUGUGAGCGAUGUCGGGGACAUCAAGCACGAAGCAGAUUAGAGUUGCAUGUGCGAUAUGUGGCAUACAGUUGAUCCAUCUGAGCUGUUUGUGAUGGAAUAAGCCAUGUGUGUUGCGGGCAAACGCUUGCUGGCAUAUAACCUUAAAUUUAACCAACAAAAUGUUAAUGCAUGUUACAGAGAUUGCAUAACUGGAAACUAUAUUCAAAUACGAAUCCAACGAUAUAAUGUUUGGCGACAUGCAUUCGUAUUUUAUUAGUUAAAUCCUACUUAUAAACCUGGACAUGGGUAUAGUAGGUAAUUAAAUCGCAAAUAUUUUUAUAUUAACCGUAUGUGUACGUAUCCUUUCAUCCUCCUCUCGCACAUCUUGUCACCUCGCUGUCGCAGACGGCUUCGAGCACAACCUUGAGCAGCACGCGGGGGCAUUCUUUUGGCCAAACAAUGGUGAGCCCGUUCCCGCGCAAGCUUCCCGCCCGACUCGAUGAAAUCCCACAAAAUCCCAAUGCUUACCAGCUUACUAUAUAAACCCUCACGGCUGGUGAGUCCCGCGUCGCAUUUUCCCCUCCCUCCUUGUAGAUUAUCUCGUCUUCUUCUCCCACAAUCGCCAAUGGCACCGGUCCGUCAUCGUCGCUCAGCCACUCCGCCGUCUUUAGAGGACAACUCCAGCUGGGAGGCUACACCGUGGCGGCGGCGCAGUCCCCUGGGUAGUGUAGUGCGUGUGGCGUCCCUGUUGAGUGUGAGCAGAACACCCACCACACGCUCCGCCACCACUGCCCAUCAACAGUUGUUGCCGGCCGCCGUUGCCGCCACACCACCUUCGAAAACUAGGGCCAUCGCCCGCUCCGCCGUAGUGGCCCGAAGUUGGGAGGUGGCCGUCAUGGUCGCCACCCCACUGCCGACCACCGUGGCCAUUGAGGGAGUCUUAGACUAAGGGGUCCUCGGGCGUCCGUCCUGUUAGCCAUGGGCCGGACUGAUGGGCUAUGAAGAUACGAAGACCGAAGACUGUACCCGUGUAUGGAUGGGACUUUCAUUGGCGUGGAAGGCAAGCUUGGCAACUGGAUAUGUAGAUUCCUUUCUUUGUAACCGACCUUGUGUAACCCUAGAUCCUUACGGUGUCUAUAUAAACCGGAGGACUUAGUUCGGAUAGGGGAGACUCAUUAUCAUAGCCAUACAAGCUGGACCUCUAGGGUUUAGCCAUUACGAUCUCGAGGUAGAUCAACUCUUGUAAUACUCAUAUUCAUCAAUAUCAAUCAAGCAGGACAUAGGGUAUUACCUCCAUAGAGAGGGCCCAAACCUGGGUAAACAUCGUGCCCCUUGUCUCUUGUUACCAUCGACCUUAGACGCACAGUUCAGGCUCCCCUACCCGAGAUCCGCCGGUUUUGACACCAACAUUGGUGCUUUCAUUGAGAGUUCUACUCCGGCGUCACCAAAAGGUUUGAUGGCCCCUUCGAUCGUCAAUAAUGACGAUGUCCAAGGAGGAAAUUUCCUCCCCGGACAGAUCUUCGUGUUCGGCGGCUUCGCAUUGCGGGCCAACUCGUUUGGCCAUCUGGAGUAGAUCGAAAGCUACGCCCCUGGCCAUCAUGUCAGAUUUGGGAGCUUGAAUUACGUUGCGGACAUCCGUGGAGACUUGAUCUUCGCCGGAUUCGAGACCGCGAUAGCUGCUCCCGGUCACCCCGAUGAUCAUGACCUAAAUCUGUCAUCAGGCCGCAUCCAGGAAAUCGCUCCUGUAACCGCUCUGGCCCUAGAUCCGGAGCAAGCCGCGCCAUCCAAGGAAGGGAGGAUCAACCUCACCACGGAGGCCACAGAUUCCACGAUGUUGGAGCCGCACAUAGACUUAACCUCUCACGACGUCUUUGUCAGCGGAACUCUGAACUCGUCUCCGGCCGUAAGUUCCGAACCACGUGAGCCUGCAGACUCUGAGGUUGAUCGUUUAUUGAUCUUCGAAUUCAGCGCCCCAGACAUCUUCCAGCACUCGCCCUGGGGCGAUGUGCUAAACUCAUUAAAGAACCUGUCCUUGGCGGAGGACUCACAGCCGAACUAUAUCCGGCUCGACCAGGGGCUGACGAUGGAGAAUUUUGCUUCCCACUCACCACCCACUUCAUAGCCACGGUCAAGGAUUCGACCGAUACACUUGAUUACGACUCCGAGAACAUUGACGGUACGGACGGCGAUGCCGAAGACAACGAAGACCCCAUUGAUACUGAAGGAAAUAUGCCCUAGAGGCAAUAAUAAAGUUAUUAUUUAUUUCCUUAUUUCAUGAUAAAUGUUUAUUAUUCAUGCUAGAAUUGUAUUAUCCGGCAACAUAAUACUUGUGUGAAUACAUAGACAAACUAAACAUCACUAGUAUGCCUCUACUUGACUAGCUCAUUAAUCAAAGAUGGUUAUGUUUCCUAACCAUAGACAUGUGUUGUCAUUUGAUUAAUGGGAUCACAUUAUUAGGAGAAUGAUGUGAUUGACAUGACCCAUUCCAUUAGCUUAGCACCCGAUCGUUUAGUAUGUUGCUAUUGCUUUCUUCAUGACUUAUACAUGUUCCUAUGACUAUGAGAUUAUGCAACUCUCGUUUACCGGAGGAACACUUUGUGUGCUAACAAACGUCACAACGUAACUGGGUGAUUAUAAAGGAGCUCUACAGGUGUCUCCAAAGGUGAAUGUUGGGUUGGCGUAUUUCGAGAUUAGGAUUUGUCACUCCGAUUUUCGGAGAGGUAUCUCUGGGCCCUCUCGGUAAUGCACAUCACAUAAGCCUUGCAAGCAUUACAACUAAUGAGUUAGUUGCAAGAUGAUGUAUUACGAAACGAGUAAAGAGACUUGCCGGUAACGAGAUUGAACUAGGUAUUGAGAUACCGACGAUCGAAUCUCGGGCAAGUAACAUACCGAUGACAAAGGGAACAACGUAUGUUGUUAUGCGGUCUGACCGAUAAAGAUCUUCGUAGAAUAUGUAGGAGCCAAUAUGAGCAUCCAGGUUCCGCUAUUGGUUAUUGACCGGAGACGUGUCUCGGUCAUGUCUACAUUGUUCUCGAACCCAUAGGGUCCGCACGCUUAAGGUUUCGAUGACAGUUAUAUUAUGAGUUUAUGAGUUUUGAUGUACCGAAGUUAGUUCGGAGUCCUGGAUGUGAUCACGGACAUGACGAGGAGUCUCGAAAUGGUCGAGACAUAAAGAUUGAUAUAUUGGACGGCUAUAUUCGGACACCGGAAGUGUUCCGGGUGAUUUCGGAGAAAACCGGAGAGCCAGAGGGUUACCGGACCCCCCCCAGGAGAAGUAAUGGGCCAUAUGGGCCUUAGUGGAGAGAGAGAGGGGCAGCCAAAGGUGGGCCGCGCAACUCCUCCCCCCUGGUCUGAAUUUGACUAGGAGAGGGGGGCGGCGCCCCCCUUUCCUUCUCCCUCCCCACUUCUUUCCCCCUCCUAGUAGGAGUCCUACUCCUACUAGGAGGAGGACUCCUCCUUGGCGCGCCAUAGGGGCCGGCCGGCCUCCUCCCCUUGAUCCUUUAUAUACGGGGGCAGGGGGCACCCCUAGACACACAAGUUGAUCCACGUGAUCAUAUUCUUAGCCGUGUGCGGUGCCCCCUUCCACCAUAAUCCUCGAUAAUAUUGUAGCGGUGCUUAGGCGAAGCCCUGCGACAGUAGUACAUCAAGAUCGUCACCACGCCAUCGUGCUGACGGAACUCUUCCCCGACACUUUGCUGGAUCGGAGUCCGGGGAUCGUCAUCGAGCUGAAUGUGUGCUAGAACUUGGAGGUGCCGUAGUUUCGGUGCUUGAUCGGUCGGGCCGUGAAGACGUACGACUACAUCAAUCGCGUUGUCAUAACGCUUACGCUGUCGGUCUACAAGGGUACGUAGAUCACACUCUUCCCUCGUUGCUAUGCAUCACCAUGAUCUUGCGUGUGCGUAGAUUUUUUUUUAAAUUACUACGUUCCCCAACAGUGGCAUCCGAGCCUAGGUUUUAUGUGUUGAUGUUAUAUGCACGAGUAGAACACAAGUUAGUUGUGGGCGAUAUAAGUCAUACUGCUUACCAGCAUGUCAUACUUUGGUUCGGCGGUAUUGUUGGACGAAGCGGCCCGGACCGACAUUACGCGUACGCUUACGCGAGACCGGUUCUCCCGACGUGCUUUGCACAAAGGUGGCUAGCGGGUGACAGUUUCUCCAACUUUAGUUGAACCGAGUGUGGCUACGCCCGGUCCUUGCGAAGGUUAAAACAACACCAACUUGACAAACUAUCGUUGUGGUUUUGAUGCGCAGGUAAGAUUGGUUCUUGCUUAAGCCCGUAGCAGCCACGUAAAACUUGCAACAACAAAGUAGAGGACGUCUAACUUGUUUUUGCAGGGCAUGUCGUGAUGUGAUAUGGUCAAGACAUGAUGCUAAAUUUUAUUGUAUGAGAUGAUCAUGUUUUGUAACCAAGUUAUCGGCAACUGGCAGGAGCCAUAUGGUUGUCGCUUUAUUGUAUGCAAUGCAAUUGCGCUGUAAUGCUUUACUUUAUCACUAAGCGGUAGCGAUAGUCGUGGAAGCAUAAGAUUGGCGAGACGUCAACAAUGCUACGAUGGUGAUCAAGGUGUCGCGUCGGUGACGAUGGUGAUCACGACGGUGCUUCAAAGAUGGAGAUCACAAGCACAAGAUGAUGAUGGCCAUAUCAUAUCACUUAUAUUGAUUGCAUGUGAUGUUUAUCUUUUAUGCAUCUUAUCUUGCUUUGAUUGACGGUAGCAUUUUAAUAUGAUCUCUCACUAAUUAUGAAGAAGUGUUCUCCCUGAGUAUGCAUCGUUGCGAAAGUUCUUCAUGCUGAGACACCACGUGAUGAUCGGGUGUGAUAGGCUCUACGUUCAAAUACAACGGGUGCAAAACAGUUGCACACGCGGAAUACUCAGGUUAUACUUGACGAGCCAAGCAUAUACAGAUAUGGCCUCGGAACACGGAGACCGAAAGGUCGAGCGUGAAUCAUAUAGUAGAUAUGAUCAACAUAGUGAUGUUCACCAAUGAAACUACUCCAUCUCACGUGAUGAUCGGACAUGGUUUAGUUGAUUUGGAUCACGUGAUCACUUAGAGGAUUAGAGGGAUGUCUAUCUAAGUGGGAGUUCUUAAGUAAUAUGAUUAAAUGAACUUAAAUUUAUCAUGAACUUAGUCCUGGUAGUAUUUUGUAAAUCAUGUUGUAGAUCAAUAGCUCGCGUUGUUGCUUCCCUGUGUUUAUUUUGAUAUGUUCCUAGAGAAAAUUGUAUUGAAAGAUGUUAGUAGAAAUGAUGCGGAUUGGAUCCGUGAUCUGAGGUUUAUCCUCAUUGCUGCACAGAAGAAUUAUGUCCUUGAUGCACCGCUAGGUGAUAGACUUAUUGCAGGAGCAGAUGCAGACGUUAUGAACGUUUGGCUAGCUCAAUAUGAUGACUACUUGAUAGUUUAGCGCACCAUGCUUAAUGGCUUAGAAUCGAGACUUCAAAGACGUUUUGAACGUCAUGGACCAUAUGAGAUGUUCCAGGAGUUGAAGUUAAUAUUUCAAGCAAAUACCCGAGUUGAGAGAUAUGAAGUCUCCAACAAGUUCUAUAGCUAAAAGAUGGAGGAGAAUCGCUCAACUAGUGAGCAUGUGCUCAGAUUGUCUGGGUACUACAAUCACUUGAAUCAAGCGGGAGUUAAUCUUCCAGAUAAAAUAGUGAUUGACAGAAUUCUCUAGUCACCAUCACCAAGUUAGUAGAACUUCAUGAUGAACUAUGAUAUGCAAGGGAUAACAGAAACGAUUCCCAAGCUCUUCGUAAUGCUGAAAUUGAUGAAGGUAAUCGAGAAAAACAUCAAGUGUUGAUGGUAGACAAGACCACUAGUUUCAAGAAAAGGGCAGAGGGAAGAAGGGGAACUUCAAGAAGAACAGCAAGCAAGUUGCUGCUCAAGUGAAGAAGCCCAAGUCUGGUCCUAAGCCUGAGACUAAGUGCUUCUACUACAAAGGGACUGGUCACUAGAAGCGGAACUACCCCAAGUGAUUGGUAGAUAAGAAGGAUGGCAAAGUGAACAUAAGUAUAUUUGAUAUACAUGUUAUUGAUGUGUACUUUACUAGUGUUUAUAGCAACCCCUCAGUAUUUGAUACUAGUUCAGUUGCUAAGAUUAGUAACUCGAAACGGGAGUUGCAGAAUAAACAGAGACUAGUUAAGGGUGAAGUGACGAUGUGUGUUGGAAGUGGUUCCAAGAUUGAUAUGAUCAUCAUCGCACACUCCCUAUAAUUUCGGGAUUAGUGUUGAACCUAAAUAAGUGUUAUUUGGUGUUUGCGUUGAGCAUGAAUAUGAUUUGAUCAUGUUUAUUGUAAUACGGUUAUUCAUUUAAGUAAGAGAAUAAAUUGUUGUUCUGUUUACAUGAAUAAAACCUUAUAUGGUUACACACCCAAUGAAAAUAGUUCAUUGGAUCUCGAUCAUAGUGAUACACAUAAUCAUAAUAUUGAAACCAAAAGAUGCAAAGUAAAUAAUGAUAGUGCAACUUAUUUGUGGCACUACCGUUUAGGUCAUAUUGGUGUAAAGCGCAUGAAGAAACUCCAUGCUGAUGGGCUUUUGGAAUCACUUGAUUAUGAAUCAGUUGAUGCUUGCAAACCAUGCCUCAUGGGCAAGAUGACUAAGACUCUGUUCUUCGAAACAAUGGAGCGAGCAAAAGAUUUGUUGGAAAUCAUACAUAAUGAUGUAUGUGGUCCGAUGAAUAUUGAGGCUCGCGACAGGUAUCAUUAUUUUCUGAUCUUCACAUAUGAUUUGAGCAGAUAUGAGUAUAUCUACUUGAUGAAACAUAAGUCUGAAACAUUUGAAAAGUUCAAAGAAUUUCAGAGUGAAGUGAAAGAUCAUCGUAACAAGAAAAUAAAGUUUCUACGAUCUGAUCGUAGAGAAGAGUAUUUGAGUUACGAGUUUGGCCUUCAGUUAAAAACAAUGUGAAAUAGUUUCACUACUCACGCCACCUGGCACACCACAAUGUAAUGGUGUGUCCGAACGUCAUAACCGUACUUUAUUAGAUAUGGUGCGAUCUAUGAUGUCUCUUACCGAUCUACCACUAUAGUUUUGGGGUUAUGCAUUAGAGACAACUGCAUUCACGUUAAAUAGGGCACCAUCUAAAUCUGUUGAAACGACACCGUAUGAACUAUGGUUUGGCAAGAAACCUAAGAUGUCGUUUCUUAAAGUUUGAGGUUGCAAUGCUUAUGUGAAAAAGUUUCAACCUGAUAAGCUCAAACCCAAAUCGGAGAAGUGCGUCUUCAUAGGAUACCCAAAACAAAAUGUUGGGUACACCUUCUAUCACAGAUCCAAAGGCAAGAUAUUCGUUGCUUUGAAUGGAUCCUUUCUAGAGAAGGAAUUUCUCUCAAAAGAAGUGAGUGGGAGGAAAGUAGAACUUGAUGAGGUAACUGUACCUGCUCCCUUAUUGGAAAGUAGUUCAUCACAGAAAUCUGUUCCUGUGACUACUAGACCGAUUAGUGAGGAAGCUAAUGAUGAUGAUCAUGUAACUUCAGAUCAAGUUACUACCGAACCUCAUAGGUAAAACCAGAGUGAGAUCCGCACCAGAGUGGUAUGGUAAACCAGUUCUGGAGGUCAUGUUACUUGACCAUGACGAGCCUACGAACUAUGAGGAAGCGAUGAUGAGCGCAGAUUCCGCAAAAUGGCUUGAGGCCAUGAAAUCUGAGAUGAGAUCCAUGUAUGAGAACAAAGUAUGGACUUUGAUUGACUUGCCCAAUGAUCGGCGAGCCAUUGAGAUUAAAUGGAUCUUCAAGAGGAAGACGGACACUGAUAGUAGUGUUACUAUCUACAAAGCUAGAAUUGUCGCAAAAAGGUUUUCGACAAGUUCAAGGUGUUGACUACGAUGAGAGUUUCUCACUCGUAUCCAUGCUUAAGUCUGUCCGAAUCAUGAUAGCAAUUGCCACAUUUUAUGAAAUCCGGCAAAUGGAUAAACAAAACUGCAUUCCUUAAUGGAUUUAUUUGUAUAUGAUACAACCAGAAGGUUUUGUCAAUCCUAAAGGUGCUAACAAAAUGUGCAAGCUCCAAGCGAUCCAUCUAUGGACUGGUGCAAGCAUCUCGGAGUUGGAAUAUGCGCUUUGAUGAUAUGAUCAAAGCGUAUAGUUUUAUACAGACUUGCGGUGAAGCCUGUAUUUACAAGAAAGUGAGUGGGAGCACUACAACAUUUCUGAUAAGUAUAUGUGAAUGACAUAUUGUUGAUCGGAAAUAAUGUAGAAUUAUUCUGCAAAGCAUAAAGGAAUGGUUUGAAAGAAGUUUUUCAAAGAAAAACCUCGGUGAAGCUGCUUACAUAUUGAGCAUCAAGAUCUAUAGAGAUAGAUCAAGACGCUUGAUAAGUUUUUUCAAUGAGUACAUACCUUGACAAGAUUUUGAAGUAGUUCAAAAUGGAACAGUCAAAGAAAGAGUUCUUGCCUGUGUUACAAGGUGUGAAAUUGAGUAAGACUCAAAGCCCGACCAUGACAGAAGAUAGAAAAAGAAUAAAAGUCAUUCCCUAUGCCUCAGCCAUAGGUUCUAUAAAAUAUGCCAUGCUAUGUACCAGAUCUAUUGUAUACCCUACACUGGUUUUGGCAAGGGAGUACAAUAGUGAUCUAGGAGUAGAUCACUGGACAGCGGUCAAAAUUAUCCUUAGUGGAAUAAGGAUAUGUUUCUCAAUUAUGGAGGUGACAAAAGGUUUGUCGUAAAAGGGUUAUGUCGAUACAAGUUUUGGCACUGAUCCGGAUGACUCUAAGUCUUCAUCUGGAUACAUAUUGAAAGUGGGAGCAAUUAGCUAAAGUAGCUCCGUGCAGAGCAUUGUAGACAUAGAAAUUCGCAACGUUGACUAAGAUUAUCUCACAAGCAAAACAUGAUCACACCUUAGUACUCAUUGGGUGUUAAUCACAUAAGCGAUGUGAACUAGAUUACUGACUCUAGUAAACCCUUUGGGUGUUGGUCACAUAUCGAUGUGAACUAUGGGUGUUAACCACAUAAAGAUGUGAACUAUUGAUGUUAGAUCACAUGGCGAUGUGAACUAGAUUAUUGACUCUAGUGCAAGUGGGAGACUGAAGGAAAUAUGCCCUAGAGGCAAUAAUAAAGUUAUUAUUUAUUUCCUUAUUUCAUGAUAAAUGUUUAUUAUUCAUGCUAGAAUUGUAUUAUCUGGAAACAUAAUACUUGUGUGAAUACAUAGACAAACUAAACGUCACUAGUAUUCCAUUAGCUUAGCACCCGAUCGUUUAGUAUGUUGCUAUUGCUUUCUUCAUGACUUAUACAUGUUCCUAUGACUAUGAGAUUAUGCAACUCCCGUUUACCGGAGGAACACUUUGUGUGCUACCAAACGUCACAACGUAACUGGGUGAUUAUAAAGGAGCUCUACAGGUGUCUCCAAAGGUGAAUGUUGGGUUGGCGUAUUUCGAGAUUAGGAUUUGUCACUCCGAUUGUCGGAGAGGUAUCUCUGGGCCCUCUCGGUAAUGCACAUCACAUAAGCCUUGCAAGCAUUACAACUAAUGAGUUAGUUGCAAGAUGAUGUAUUACGAAACGAGUAAAGAGACUUGCCCGUAACGAGAUUGAACUAGGUAUUGAGAUACUGACGAUCGAAUCUCGGGCAAGUAACAUACCGAUGACAAAGGGAACAAUGUAUGUUGUUAUGCGGUCUGACCGAUAAAGAUCUUCGUAGAAUAUGUAGGAGCCAAUACGAGCAUCCAGGUUCCGCUAUUGGUUAUUGACCAGAGACGUGUCUCGGUCAUGUCUACAUUGUUCUCAAACCCGUAGGGUCCGCACGCUUAAGGUUUCGAUGACAGUUAUAUUAUGAGUUUAUGAGUUUUGAUGUACCGAAGUUAGUUCGGAGUCCCGGAUGUGAUCAUGGACUUGACGAGGAGUCUCGAAAUGGUUGAGACAUAAAGAAUGAUAUAUUGGACGGCUAUAUUCGGACACCGGAAGUGUUCCGGGUGAUUUCGGAGAAAACCGGAGAGCCGGAGGGUUACCGGAACCCCCCCGGGAGAAGUAAUGGGCCAUAUGGGCCUUAGUGGAGAGAGAGAGGGGCAGCCAAAGGUGGGCCGCGUGCCUCCUCCCCCCUGGUCCGAAUUGGACUAGGAGAGGGGGGGCGGCGCCCCCGUUUCCUUCUCCCUCCCCACUUCUUUCCCCCUCCUAGUAGGAGUCCUACUCCUACUAGGAGGAGGACUCCUCCUUGGCGCGCCAUAGGGGCCGACCGGCCUCCUCCCCUUGAUCCUUUAUAUACGGGGGCAGGGGGCACCCCUAGACACACAAGUUGAUCCACGUGAUCAUAUUCUUAGCCGUGUGCGGUGCCCCCUUCCACCAUAAUCCUCGAUAAUAUUGUAGCGGUGCUUAGGCGAAGCCCUGCGACGAUAGUACAUCAAGAUCGUCACCACGCCGUUGUGCUGACGGAACUCUUCCCCGACACUUUGCUGGAUCAGAGUCCGGGGAUUGUCAUCGAGCUGAACGUGUGCUAGAACUCGGAGGUGCCGUAGUUUCGGUGCUUGAUCGGUCGGGCCGUGAAGACGUACGACUACAUCAACCGCGUUGUCAUAAUGCUUCCGCUGUCGGUCUACAAGGGUACGUAGAUCACACUCUUCCCUCGUUGCUAUGCAUCGCCAUGAUCUUGCGUGUGCGUAGGAAUUUUUUUGAAAUUACUAUGUUCCCCAACAGAUACAACUAAUGACCAAGAUGAAUGGGAAGAUGGGCAGGUUAGCCCUGGUAAACAAGCCACGCACGAAGAUUCGGAGGAUGACAAUUACCUUCCGCUCUCUAAGGAUGAGGUGAGCCUCGGCACCGAGAGUUUCAUCAUGUCUGAGGAACCUCUUGAGCAGGAGCGCUUCAAGCACCAACUAAUAGCCACUGCAAGGAGCCUGAAAAAGAAGUAGCAGCAGCUUCAAGCUGACCAAGAUCUGCUCAAUAAUAGAUGGACUGAAGUCCUAGCCGCCGAAGAAUACGACCUUAGUGGCCCAGCCAAAAGCUACCCGAAGAGUAGAUUGCUACCCUAGGGCGAUGACAAGGCGCUCGAGCCCGUGCCAUUAUCGCACAAGGCGUCAGGUCGACCACAACUUGGUCCGGGUAAAGCGGUAACUCAAGCCGAACACCAGACCGCCCCACCUCGCCGUAAAGGAAAGAACAAAACAACUCGGGGUUGUGCAUACGACUGUCGACAUGACUUGGGUAGUAGAGCAGGACACUCAAGACCGACCUACGGAUCGCGAGGACAUACCUCGACACACGACGACAACUACCUAUUCAGACGUAACAAACCUAGCCACGCCCGGGCCGAAAACCGCAAACGGACUCCAUCGGAGGUAUGGCGCAGUGUGGCCCAACAUAGAGGCGCCACACACCCUCUUUGCUUCACAGACGAAGUAAUGGAGCAUGAAUUCCUAGACGGGUACAAACCUAUGAAUAUCGAAUCGUACGAUGGAACAACGGAUCCCAUGGUAUGGAUCAAGGACUUCCUCCUUGUAACACCCAUGAUGCGGCUAUAUCUCCCACGUGUCGGAGCACGACUUAGAGGCAUAACCGCAUACUAGGCAUGUCGCAAGAGGGGUAAUCUUUACACAUCCCAUGUACUGAAUAAGAAAGGGAUAAAGAGUUGGCUUACAAUCGCCACUUCACACAAUACAUAAAUAUAGCAUUACAUCAUCCAGAAUACAAUCAAGGUCCGACUACGAAACCAAAAUAAAGAAAGACCACCCCUAUUGCUAGAUCCCCGAUCGCCCCGACUGGGCUCCACUACUGAUCAAAAGGAAACAGAACAAAACAACGAUCAAGAUCUUCAUCGAGCUCCCACCUGAGCUCGGUUGCGUCACCUACACUUGUAUCAUCGGCACCUGCAACUGUUUGGAAGUAUCUGUGAGCCACGAGGACUCAGCAAUCUCACACCCGCGAGAUCAAGACUAUUUAAGCUUAUGCGUAGGAAAAGUUGUGAGGUGGAGCUGCAGCAAGCACUAGCAUAUAUGGUGGCUAGCAUACACAAAUAAGAGCGAGAAGAGAAGCAAUGCACGAUCGUGAAAUAGAAGUGAUCAAGAAGUGAUCCUGAAACUACUUACGUUCAAGCAUAACACAAGAACCGUGUUCACUUCCCGGACUCCGCCGGAAAGAGACCAUCACGGCUACACACGCGGUUGAUACAUUUUAAUUAAGUUAAGUGUCAGGUUUUCUACAACCGGAUAUUAACAAAUUCCCAUCUGCCCACAAUCGCAGGCAUGGCUUUCGAAAGUUCAAAAUCCUACAGGGGUGUCCCAACUUAGCUCAUCACAAGCUCUCACGGUCAACGAAGGAUAUUCCUUCUCCAAGGAAGACCCGACCAGACUCGGAAUCCCGGUUACAAGACUUUUCGACAAUGGUAAAACAAGACCAGCAAGACCACCCGCUGUGUCGACAAAUCCCGAUAGGAGCUGCACAUAUCUCGUUCUCAGGGCACACCAGAUAAGCUAAGCGUACAAGAGCCAACGUAACCCAAGUUGCCAAGGGAUGGCCCCGCACGGUGCUCUAGUUUGGACCAACACUCAGAGGAGUACUGGCCCGGGGGUUUAAAAUAAAGAUGACCCUUGAGUCUGCAGAACCCAAGGGAAAAAGGCUUAGGUGGCAUAUGGUAAAACCAAGGUUGGGCCUUGCUGGAGGAGUUUUAUUCAAAGCGAACUGUCAAGUGGUUCCCAUUAUAACCCAACCGCGUAAGGAACGCAAAAUCAAGGAACAUAUUACCGGUAUGACGGAAACUAGGGUGGCAAGAGUGGAGCAAAACACCAGGCAUAAGGCCGAGCCUUCCACCCUUUACCAAGUAUAUAGAUGCAUUAAAGUAAACAAGAUAUAAUAAUGAUAUCCCAACAAUAAUCAUGUUCCAACAAGGAACAAACUUCAUCUUCACCUGCAACUAGCAACGCUAUAAGAGGGGCUGAGCAAAGCGGUAACAUAGCCAAACAAAGGUUUGCUAGGAAAGGUGGGUUAGAGGCUUGACAUGGCAAUAUGGGAGGCAUGAUAAAGCAAGUGGUAGGUAUCUCUUCAUAGCAGCAGAGCGAGCAACUAGCAAGCAAAGAUAGAAGUGAUUUCGAGGGUAUGGUCAUCUUGCCUGAGAUCCCGCAAGGAAGAAGAAUGAGUCCAUGAAGGAGACAAAUGGACGUAGCCGAACGGAUCCUCACAACUCCGGAACGAAACCGAAGCUAACGAGAGAGGCAACCCGGAAAGAAUCAAGCAACAUAGUAAACAACCAAGCAUAACAUGGCAUGAUCCACAAUCAAGUAUGAUGCAUGUUCGGUUUAAUGAGGCAUGGCAUGGCAAAGUACACAAACAAAACUACAAAUUAAGUGGAGCUCAAUAUGCGACGAGUUGCAUAUUGACAGAACACCACAUGACUUAUUUAGUUCUCUCUCAUUUAUGUACCCAACAAUAUUAAAUGUUGUUAAACAUGGCAAGAGGUGAAGCAUAAGAAAACUACCUAUCUAGGCAAGUUUAAAUGAGGCUGGAACAACAAACAACGAUUCCGAUAAAUCUUCAUAUGCAUUUAGCAAUUUAAAGCAAACAACAAUUUUAAAACUUCUUGAUGUUGUUAUCAUGAUGCAGAUGACAUAUUCAAGUUGGAUGCAAUUUUAUGAAAAAGUUGACAUGAUAAGAUAUGAAGCAUUUGUCAUCGUGGUGGAAAGAAAAGGGUGCCACGGUGACGAUAACGAAAACGGUGCAAUGGCAACAACAAUGGAAAUGGUGCCACGGCAAUAUUCCGAUGAUCCGGUAGCUCACGGGGAUACUAGUGCAAAAGGAAGUGGGUGUGAGUGUGUCAUGCAAGAAGAUGGGGUGCUCCCAGAUACCGGGUUUCCACAUGUCGACGGCAAGGCAACGAGGAACUCGCAAGGAACAACUCGGACACGGUGCAACCACGAGCAUCUCAUACAUCACACAACAUUCAUUCACGGGCAUCGUCUCGGUGGUUAUACCUUCCAAGGGAGCAUUCUCGAGCGGUUCGAGUUCGUAGAGGAAGUAGUUGUUCUCGUGACGGUAGUGGAAGUAGGGGUACAUGACGACGGUAGAGGUACUCGCGAUGGUAGUGGUACAUGUUCGUUUUCAGAGAGGUACUUGACGAAUCCAACGUUUUCGGGGCGACGGUAGUUGUACAUGGGUCGCAUAGGAACUUGACGAAACCCAAGGCGACGAUUGUGGUACUUGGCAAAACGCAUGUCAACGGUUGUUGUUCUUGUAUCGUUGUGGAGGUAGUCGUUCACUCGGCGGUCUUAUCGGAACCUUGUCAGCGGUAGGGAUACACCUUGGGGUUCAUAAGGGGUACUUGCCGUCGUGGUACUUGGCGAUUUCGAAGGCGGUGGGAAAACGAACUUGGCGAUCUCCGUUGACCUGGUACUUGGCGAAUCCCUGCUCUGUUGUCUUCCUUGGCGGUUCAGGGCAUGGUGCAUGUACUUGGCAUGAUGCAGGGGCGAUGGCCGUAGGACACUAGGACCCGAAGCAGAGGAGCAAGGGAUCGAGGCUCUGGCCAUCUCCUGCAUGUGUUGCGUUGGACGGCGGCGGUAAGGUGACAGCAGUAGAGCUGCCAUGGAUGGCGACAGCGCCAUGGAAGAAGCAGGGGCGUGAGGGCGGCGGAAGCAGCAAGGUGGACUUGGGCGCUGGAGGAAGCAGCAAGGUAGCGCCAUGGAGAUCCUGGACGACGGGGCCAGAUCGGCCGGCAAGGCACCAAGGGACAUCGAGGUGGCGGAGGUCGCGGGUCGGGCGUCGGGCUUGAGGUGCAGGAGGACCCCGGGCAGCGGCGAGGAUGGCCGGCGGCGAGGAGGCAGCAGAGACGCGACGAGGUGCAGAGGUGGGAGCUUCGAGCUCGGCCGGCUGCGGCCAUGGAGGACGGCGGCGUGGAGGCGGGGCCCUUGAGGGCACGGCGCUCGGGAUCCGGGGUCUGACAGGGUCGCGGUAGCGGCCUCCUCUCUGUGCGGCGGCGCCAGGAGGAAGGGGAGAUAGGCGGCGCGAGGCCAGGAGAGGGCGUCGGGGAGGAUGGGAUCGAGGGAGAGGGUGAGGAGGCGCUGGAUGAUCGAGAGGGAGAAGGAGGUCGAGCGCACGGGGAUGGGAUCGAGGGAGAAAGAGGCUGGUGAUACCUCUCCGUCGUAUCUACUUUUCCAAACACUUUUGCCCUUGUUUUGGACUCUAACUUGCAUGAUUUGAAUGGAACUAACCCGGACUGACGCUGUUUUCAGCAGAAUUACCAUGGUGUUAUUUAUGUGCAGAAACAAACGUUCUCGGAAUGACCUGAAACUUCACGGAGCCACUUUUCAGAAAAUAAGAAAAAUACCUGUAAAAGAUGAAGGCCAGGGGGCCCACCACCUCUCCACGAGGGUGGGGGGCGCGCCCCCUACCUCGUGGGCCCCCUGUUGCCUCUUCGACUCCAACUCCAACUUCAUAUAUUGAGUUUCGGGGAGAAAAAAAUUAGAGAGAAGAAAUCAUCGCGUUUUAUGAUAUGGAGCCGCCGCCAAGCCCUAAAACCUCUCGGGAGGGCUGAUCUGGAGUCCGUUCUGGGCUCCAGAGAGGGGAAUCCGUGGCCAUCGUCAUCGUCAACCAUCCUCCAUCACCAAUUUCAUGAUGCUCACCGCCGUGCAUGAGUAAUUCCAUUGUAGGUUUGCUGGACGGUGAUGGGUUGGAUGGGAUCUAUCAUGUAAUCGAGUUAGUUUUGUUAGGGUUUGAUCCCUAGUGUCCACUAUGUUCUGAGAUUGAUGUUGCUAUGACUUUGCUAUGCUUAAUGCUUGUCACUAGGGCUCGAGUGCCAUGAUUUCAGAUCUGAACCUAUUAUGUUUUCAUCAAUAUAUGAGUGUUCUUGAUCCUAUCUUGCAAGUCUAUAGUCACCUAUUAUGUGUUAUGAUCCAUUAACCCCGAAGUGACAAUAAUCGGGAUACUUACCAGUGAUGACCGUAGUUUGAGGAUUUCAUGUAUUCACUAUGUGUUAAUGCUUUGUUCCAGUUAUCUAUUAAAAGGAGGCCUUAAUAUCCCUUAGUUUUCGUAAGGACCCCGCUGCCACGGGAGGGUAGGACAAAAGAUGUCAUGCAAGUUCUUUUCCAUAAGCACGUAUGACUAUAUUCGGAAUACAUGCCUACAUUACAUUGACGAACUGGAGCUAGUUCUGUGUCACCCUAGGUUAUGAUUGUUACAUGAUGAACCGCAUCUGGCAUAAUUCUCCAUCACCGAUCCAUUGCCUACGAGCUUUCCAUAUAUUGUUCUUCGCUUAUUUACUUUCCCGUUGCUAUUGCUAUCAUCACUACAAAAUACCAAAAACAUUACUUUUACUACUGUUACCUUUUGCUAUCGUUACCAAUACUAUCAUAUUAAUUUGCUAAUAAAUACUUUGUUGUAGAUAUUAAGUUUCCAGGUGUGGUUGAAUUGACAACUCAGCUGCCAAUACUUGAGAGUAUUCUUUGGCUCCCCUUGUGUCGAAUCAAUAAAUUUGGGUUGAAUACUUUACCCUCGAAAACUAUUGUGAUCCCCUAUACUUGUGGGUCAUCAAGACUAUUUUCUGGCGCCGUUGCCGGGGAGCAUAGCUCUAUUCUUUGAGUCACUUGGGAUAUAUAUCUGCUUAUCAUUAUGAAGAACUUGAGAGAUCCAAAAACCAAGAUUUAUCCCUCAACUAUGAGGGGAGGUAAGGAACUGCCAUCUAGCUCUGCACUUGAUUCACCUUCUGUUUUGAGUAAGCUUGCGACACCUACACCUGCUUCUACUAUUCACUCUGAUAUGUCGCAUGUUAUUGAUGAUGCCACUUCUGCUAUGCAUGAUACUUAUGAUGAAACUACCUCUAUGUCUGAUACUAUUGUGCCACUUAGUGAUUUUCUUAACGAACAAAUUUCUAGGGCUAGAGAGAUUGAGAAUAUUGAAUCUGAUGAUACUGAUGAAAGUGAUGAUGAAGAAUCACUUGUUAUUCCUAAGGGUUAUGUUUUUGAUCAAGAAGCUUCUUUAGCUAUUUUAGCUUGCAAAAAUAGAAAUGAACUCAAAAGGUUAUUAGCUAAAUGGAGUAAGCAAUCUCUAAAUGCUAGAAUGAAACCUGACCCUGCUUUUGCUACUUCACCUAUCUUUGUUACUGAUAAGGAUUAUGAAUUCUCUGUUGAUCCUGAUAUAAUUACUUUGGUUGAAUCUGAUCCUUUUCAUGGUUAUGAAUCUGAAACUGUUGUGGCACAUCUUACUAAACUAAAUGAUAUAGCCACCCUGUUCACUAAAGAUGAGAGAACUCAUUACUUUUAUAUCCUUAAAAUAUGAGUAAAAUGCAUCAUAGGUCCUAUAACUAUCCGAGGUGUGUCACUUUAGUCCUAUAACUAUCAAAGUGCAGAUUUGAGUCCCAAAACUAUUUUGAGUCAUUCACUGCAGGUCCUAUGGUCGCCCCAGUAGCGUUGACCGUCCGACGUGUCACCUGGACCGGUGCCACAUCAACCAGAGGGGCCCACCAGGCUAAACAAUGAAGCGUUUAUUUGCAGGAAAGCCCUUGAAAUCUCAGCUCGUCUCAUUCUCAGACUCUCCAUCUCUCUUCUAUGAACGGAUCUUUCUGAGGCGGCAAUAUGGUGGCGACCGGUGACGUUUGCGAUUGAUGUCCAUCGAUUGGAGGCGCAGGACGGGAGUCGGGGCUGCUAAUCCGACCACGGCGCUGGUCCGAUGGCUCCAUCGCGGCGGCUUCCCAACACCCCUCCUCCGGAGUAUGGUAAGAACCCUAACCCCAGUCCCUGCUGCACCCCCUUUUGGCUUAGAGAUUUCAAUAGAGUAGCAGGAUUUGGCACGAUUUGGGCAUUACAGCUUAGAUAUUGUGUCGAUUCAGUCUGAAUGUACAUAUGGCUUCUCUUCCCGUACUGAAAUCUUCUGUCUGUACUAAAAUCUUUCUGUACUAAAAUCUAUUUCAAAAGAGUUGGGCAUCUUCCUGUACGUAUGGAGAUUUGGGCAUCUUCCUGUGUGUAUGGUGAUUUGGGCACUAUUUUUCCUGCAGUAUAUAAUCCCUGUUGUAACUGAAGCCUUGUUAUGUACAGUGGUAUCUUUUUUGCAUUAUAAGCUCGUCUUGUACACCUAUAGUACCAUUUGAAAUUGUACCGCUGAUGUAUAUAUGUACUAGUGGUGAUGCAAAAGAAAUUGUACUGCUGAUGUAUAUAUGUACUCUGUUUUUUUCAUGUAAUAGGACCCAAGGAGGAGCUGUUCUCAGUAGAAAUUAAUCAUGGUGGGGUUUUUCUCGGCUUUGGAGCAAACAAGAAAUACAUGGAUUGCAAAACAGAUUUCUUUGAUCAUUGUGAGGUCGAAACCUGGUCACCGUUGUGGAUUAAAGAUUUUGUGCAGCAGCUUGGCUAUGAUCCAAGUAAAGUGUAGUGUUUCUGGUUACUUCCUGGCAUGAAUUUGGAUAAUGGACUGAGAAUUAUUGAUAGAGAUGCAGACUGUCUUAGUAUGACUGCUGUUGUGCCAAAGUUCAAGCAUUUCAAGUUGUACAUGGACCAUGGUGAUAUUUAUAGCGAGCUGAAUAUGGAUGACAUAUGCAUAAUUGGCUCACCUACAAUGCCUGAUAUCAUGAGUCCCGUGAAGCCACAAGAAAGAGGUACAAAGAGUUAUAUUAGGAGUAGUCCUAGGAUCAAGAGCAAGGCACAAAAAGGGAGAACUAAAGAACAAGUGCAGAAAAACAAUGACAGUGAUAGUGAUGAUAGUGAUAGUGAUUGUAGUUAUGAAGAUUGGGCUGACUCAGACAAUGACUUUAAGAAUGGCGAUGAUAAUCUGUUUGAGGAGUGGGUUGAUGACUUCAAUAAGGAUCUCAGAGCAAAGAAAAAUAAAGCAGUACGGUACGAGAGGGAUAGUGACUAUGACACUGAUGAGCUAGAACUACCAGCUUUAGUAAUAAAAGAACUUGCCCUGAAAAAGGUAGACAUGAGCAACAAGAUGAGGCAAGGCAAGGGGAGCAGCGAGAGGCAGGGCAAGUGCAGCAAGGUGAGGCAGUUCAAGGACAAAACUCAAUUCCAAGGCAUAUUGCCAAAAAGGCAAAAUUACCAGUGAAGAGAAGGAUUACUUCAACUGAUCAGGUAACAAUUACUAGAUAAUUUCCUUUAUGUUACUUCUAGUUAGUUAGUUGCUAACUUAAAUCCAAAACUACUCUAGAAUUGUAGACCACAUCUUCUACAAGUGUGGUUGGAUCUAGUGUAAUACAAGUGUGGGAGCAGAACAUGUCUGUGUUCGACAUACUGAUGCAAUUCGUAAGUUCUUUUCAACUUUUGUGAAUCUCAUGGAAACUCUCCUAUUCCAAAACUGAUGUAACACAUGUUUUCACAUUUGCAGUCACAGUCGUCCCAAGAAUCCCAGGCACCAAGACCUCUUCCUAACAAUCAAUUUCUUGCAAGCCAAAUAGAGGAUCUACCAAUGACAAAACAGACCACAACUAUAAUCCAUGUAGCAGCAAAGAAGAAGAAAAGGAAGAAGAAGAUCACGGAGAAGGAGAAUGUUAUUCCUAGGAAGAAGAAAUAGAAGAUGAAGUGGACAUGCCUUCUAUUGGAUAGAACCUGGUUUCUUUUUGGACAGAGUUUGGUUUCUUUUGGAUAGAUAGAGAUGGUUAGGGCCUUCACAAAUUGAAGGCUUUAUUUUGGACGGAGGUACUACUUAUGUAAUGUGGUACUGCAUCAUGCAGAGUGCAACCCAGUACCACAUUACAUAGUUGCAAGCUUUAGUGUGUAUCUAUGUUUAUGCAAGAGCACUCUUUAUGUAAUGAAAAUAUGGUGUGCUACUUCCUGGAAGUGUGGCAAUUCUCAUCUAUAUAUUUUCCUGUUAAGUUGCAACAUUCAUUUGUCACUUGCAUGAUCAUUUGCCGUGCCGGCUUGUUCCUGCUACAUCUUGAUGCCGUCGAGCUUGUUCCAAACAUGGCAGAACUGAUGAAAGCGAGAUGAGAUUGCAGAGAGGAGGGCUGCGGCUGGAGAGCAAACAGUUUGAUGGACCAAAUUGCAAAAUGUAUCAACCACCAAUGGCGGGAAAUCUUCCACCACGCGCCCUGGGUCAUUGUGGCACUGGUCCAGGUGACACGUCAGCCAACAAUCACUGUUGGGGCGACCAUAGGACCUGCAUUGAACGACUCGAAAUAGUUUUGGGACUCAAAUCUGCACUUUGAUAGUUAUAGGACUAAAGUGACACACCUCGGAUAGUUAUAGGACCUAUGAUGCAUUUUACUCUUAAAAUAUUUCUGUUCUCAUUAAAGGGUGAUGCUAAGAUAUGGUUUAAUUCUCUUGAUCCUGGUUGUGUGCGUAGUCCCCAGGAUAUGAUUUAUUACUUCUCUGCUAAAUAUUUUCCUGCUCAUAAGAAACAAGUUGCUUUAAGGGAUAUAUAUAAUUUUAGGCAAAUUGAAGAAGAGAGUCUCCCACAAGCUUGGGGGAGGCUUCUCCAAUUACUUAAUGCUUUGCCUAAUCAUCCUCUUAAGAAAAAUGAAAUACUUGAUAUCUUUUAUAAUGGACUAACCGAUGCCUCCAGAGAUUACCUGGAUAGUUGUGCUGAAUCUGCUUUCAAGGAAAGAACACCAGAUGAAGCUGAAAUUCUAUUGAAUAAUAUGUUGACUCUAACAUCCCAAAUUUUUAAUUUGGAAUGUUAUACAUUAGAUCAUCAAUGCAUGUCUUGUUUUUAUUUUGCUUCUCGCUUGAUCCUAGAAAUUCUAGGCAACUCAAGGACCCUCGGAGAGAGUUGGGGAUUUCAUGAUUUUCAUAUUUGAGUUUUCUCAAAUUUUGAAAACAGGAUCAUUUGAUUUUAUUUAUUUUAUCUUCAAUUAUUUCUAUUACAAAACUAUGAGAGAGGGAAUAAAAUGACUUUCCCAAAAUAAAGAAAUAUUGAGGAUUUAAUAAUAAAAUCAAAUAAGAUUUUAUUUUGAAGUUAUUUGCUAUUUUAUUUGAAUUUAGGAAAAAUGCGUGUUUUUCAAAAUUGCAUUUAGGCCCCAAAUAAAUGUUCAUCCUGUUCGUCUUGAUUUUAGAAGUCGGGAAAAAUUUAUUUCGAGAUUUUUGAAGUCCGUUUAGUAUUUAUUUUAUUUGUUUUUCUACGCAUAAUUAUAUAAAAAAACACAACCGACUUAGAGCCGGUUUCGGCCCGGACUCUUUCGGCCGGGCCUUUAUAUAGCACCGACCCCGAGCCCGUUAGCCCGAGCCGCCACCCCGCACCGGAACCCUAACCCUAGGCCGCCGCCGCUGCCGCGCGCCACUGCCCNNNNNNNNNNNNNNNNNNNNNNNNNNNNNNNNNNNNNNNNNNNNNNNNNNNNNNNNNNNNNNNNNNNNNNNNNNNNNNNNNNNNNNNNNNNNNNNNNNNNNNNNNNNNNNNNNNNNNNNNNNNNNNNNNNNNNNNNNNNNNNNNNNNNNNNNNNNNNNNNNNNNNNNNNNNNNNNNNNNNNNNNNNNNNNNNNNNNNNNNNNNNNNNNNNNNNNNNNNNNNNNNNNNNNNNNNNNNNNNNNNNNNNNNNNNNNNNNNNNNNNNNNNNNNNNNNNNNNNNNNNNNNNNNNNNNNNNNNNNNNNNNNNNNNNNNNNNNNNNNNNNNNNNNNNNNNNNNNNNNNNNNNNNNNNNNNNNNNNNNNNNNNNNNNNNNNNNNNNNNNNNNNNNNNNNNNNNNNNNNNNNNNNNNNNNNNNNNNNNNNNNNNNNNNNNNNNNNNNNNNNNNNNNNNNNNNNNNNNNNNNNNNNNNNNNNNNNNNNNNNNNAAGCCCCGCCGCCGCCGGUUUUUCCUAGAAAACCGUUCGGUUUUCGAUCGAUUUUUUUAGAUUUGUUUUUUAGAUAGAUCAUUUUUUCCAGUGUAGUUUAUUUAGUGAGCGUUCGCUCGUUCGUUCGUUUCAACGGACGCGUUCAUCGUUUAGUUACACAAAACAAACGUUCGUUCAUUAAUCUGUUCGUCGUUUUUUCUUUUUCUCGGAUUUCCCAUGAUUAUUUCUGAUCAUGAUUCCAAAUCCGAUUUUCGUUCUAGUAUAACUUUUCGCUCGUUUAUCGGAAUCAGGCGAUUCAAGCGCCUGGAGUUUCGUUUCGAAACCCUCUUCCCGUUUAACCAACUCAAACAAGUUUUUGCCUAUGUAAAAUUUGACUUAGAUCCAGAUUAGUAAAUGAAGCUUGUUUCUUUCGCUGUUUGACUUUCGUUGCUUCGUUCGAUUUGAUUCUUUUUGCAAACCGGAGUUCUUAAGUCGAACUUUCUGGUUAGCUCUCUUAUUUGAGUUUUACAUAUGCAUUACUUGAGUACUUAUUGUAUGCUUGUUUGUUUGCGAUAGAGUACUCGGAGUGCGCCGCUUGCUACUUUGAAUCGCUAGGUUUCGCGGAUCAUCAGCAAGGCAAGUAACACUUUGAUCAUACCUCCUACUACCCAGUUUUUAUUGCAUUAGAUCAAUCCUCAAACAUUGCAUGAUUAGGAUCUAAUUAAAUUGUGGGUUGGGAAGUAGAUGAGGUAGUACCUAUUACCUGUUUUAUUAUCAAACCCUUGGGAGUUACUUCUACGUUGCUUAUAUUGCCAUGCUAUGCUAGUAGAUGUGGAUUGGGUGAGUGUAUCCAUGACAGAUGUGAGAUUGUUAAAUUAAUGGUUUAUUUAAGGUGGGAACUUAAACACACAUCUGGGUGGAUUGAGGCACCUGGGUAUUCCAGUGAUUGCCUGUUUUUCUUUACGGACCGCCACCCAGGCUCAAAGGGAUCAUGAGAUCAUUCAUAACAGAAACUUCCGUGUGCAGCCACAAGCUACUAUGGGCUGUAGCAUAGUUGAUUAAGUCGUGCGAACUCUUACAGUGGUAUACUAGCAGAUGUAGGGGAAAGUAGGUGUAAUGGUCUACCCGUUCGUAAGGUGCUAGCGCUUCUAAAAGACUAUGUCUCGGUCAUCCGUUUCUCAAACAUCAUGUAGUGCGAGAACCCCAACGGAGGAGAUCGAGUCUUGUGGGUAAAAGUGCGCAAACCUCUGUAGAG
rnacentral:lncRNA from 1 species